rnacentral:rRNA from 1 species
UACGUAGGGACCAAGCGUUGUUCGGAUUUACUGGGCGUAAAGGGCGCGUAGGCGGCGUGACAAGUCACUUGUGAAAUCUCUGGGCUUAACCCAGAACGGCCAAGUGAAACUGUCGUGCUAGAGUGCGGAAGGGGCAAUCGGAAUUCUCGGUGUAGCGGUGAAAUGCGUAGAUAUCGAGAGGAACACCGGAGGUGAAGACGGGUUGCUGGGCCGACACUGACGCUGAGGCGCGAAAGCGUGGGGAGCAAACAGG